ACAGAGAAGGAGCUUGCUCCUUUGACGUUAGCGGCGGACGGGUGAGUAACACGUGGGCAACCUACCUUAUAGUUUGGGAUAACUCCGGGAAACCGGGGCUAAUACCGAAUAAUCUGUUUCACCUCAUGGUGAAACACUGAAAGACGGUUUCGGCUGUCGCUAUAAGAUGGGCCCGCGGCGCAUUAGCUAGUUGGUGAGGUAACGGCUCACCAAGGCGAGGAAGAGUAGCCGACCUGAGAGGGUGAUCGGCCACACUGGGACUGAUACACGGCCCAGACGACUACGGGAGGCAGCAGUCC
rnacentral:misc_RNA from 1 species